AGAGUUGAUCCGUGGCUAGGACGAACGCUGGCGGCGUGCCUAACACAUGCAAGUCGAGCGGAGUCGGUAAGAGGAAGUUUCGGAUGGAAUCUUAUUGAUUUAGCGGCGGACGGGUGAGUAACGCGUGAGCGACCAACCUUGCACAGGGGGAUAACGGACCGAAAGGUUCACUAAUACCGCAUGAGACCACGGUGUUGCAUGACACAGAGGUCAAAGGAGCAAUCCGGUGCAAGACGGGCUCGCGUCCGAUUAGGUAGUUGGAGGGGUAACGGCCCACCAAGCCUAUGAUCGGUAGCCGACCUGAGAGGGUGAUCGGCCACAUUGGAACUGAGAUACGGUCCAAACUCCUACGGGAGGCAGCAGUGGGGAAUAUUGGGCAAUGGGGGAAAUCCUGACCCAGCAACGCCGCGUGAAGGAAGAAGGUUUUCGGAUUGUAAACUUCUGUCCUUGGUGAAGAGAAGAAGACGGUAGCCAAGGAGGAAGCCCCGGCUAACUACGUGCCAGCAGCUGC
rnacentral:rRNA from 1 species